rnacentral:rRNA from 1 species
CCCUACGGGGGGCAGCGGUGAGGAAUAUUGGUCAAUGGUCGGGAGACUGAACCAGCCAAGCCGCGUGAGGGAGGAAGGUACAGAGUAUCGUAAACCUCUUUUGUCAGGGAACAAGGGCGGGGACGUGUCCCCGGAUGAGUGUACCUGAAGAAAAAACAUCGGCUAACUCCGUGCCAGCAGCCGCGGUAAUACGGAGGAUGCGAGCGUUAUCCGGAUUUAUUGGGUUUAAAGGGUGCGCAGGCGGUCUGUUAAGUCAGCGGUCAAAGCCCGGGGCUCAACCCCGGCCCGCCGUUGAAACUGGCAGC